GAAAAAGUAAACUGACAAAUCCUAAAACGAAAUGUGUGAACUAAUUAAAAUGCAACGAAACUUGAAGUGAAAUUGCUAAAUUAGAAAUUAAAGGCACAUUGCAGCUUGGAAUAAAAGAAGCAAAGUUUAGCUAAUAAUUAAAUUGCUCAUUGCACAAGAAAUAAAUAAACACACUUAGCUAAUAAAGAAAGGCACCUUCCGG
rnacentral:lncRNA from 1 species